GUUUCUAAAUUACAGAGAGGAGAUAUCCCAUUACAAGGAACUCAAUCCAACAGAACUCAGUCCAAAAGAACAUUUGCUACUCUUAAAAGCAUUAUGUGGACUCCAAGCUCAACAGUGCCCAUUUCCACCCAAAUUGAAUCUCAAGUUCUUCUGCUUUUGAAGACGGCGCAUGUUCGGCCAACAGUAUAUUUUCCAUCACUUUUUUAUUCAGAAAUAUUGUAAGCUGUUUGAUUAAUUGAAUUUGUAUUUUUGUUUUUGUACAUUUGACAAGAUCAUCAACAAGGAAAUACCGAAUAAGGUGGUUUUGAAGACGAUAAGCCCAUAUUGGCCGACGACAGAGAUUUAGUAUGCAAAGUCGGCGAAGCUGGUGAGGUUUCCAAGGACGUCACCAAUUUCGUGAAGUUGCUGGAGAAAAUUUGGAAAAGUUCAAUGCUUUCUUUAUGGAGAAGGAGGAGUAGUACGUUAGUAGAUGGAAGGACUUCGUUAACCUAGAAGUCAACCCGCCGAUGCCAAAUUAGAAGGGAAGUGAAGAUGUGAGAGAUGGGUGCUCUUUGCUGCUGUCCUUGCGGUGAGGAAUUCGAAGAAUAUGUGCUUCGGAGCAAUCCAUUAUAAUAUUGCUUAUUCCUGAGAUACUUCUUCCAGCAGCUAUUCACUGGGUACAGUGCACCUUUCCAAAGGUUUGAUGGACGAUUACCUUCAUUACUUAUUCAAGGGGCCACUUUGGCAUCAUCUUGAGUAGGUACAGCACUACAGAAUAAUCCCUUGAAUAAUACUCAGCUCUCAGUUUCCAAGCC